rnacentral:tRNA from 1 species
AGCGGGGUGGAGCAUAGCCUUGGAAAUUCCAGGGCUCUCGACCCGAAGGUCGUUGGUUCAAAUCCAACCCCCGCUA